rnacentral:ribozyme from 12 species
AAAGGAGAAACAGCAAAAUAGAUGAGGAGGGAAAAGAGGUAUAUAUAUAUAUAUAUGUUGAUAUACGUAUUUAUACUUUUUUAUAAUUGUAUUUAAAUUUCUUUACAUUUUUUGUGUAAAAGAAGAAAUAAUGUCAUUGAGGUGCUGC